CCCUACGGGGGGCAGCAGUGGGGAAUAUUGGGCAAUGGGCGCAAGCCUGACCCAGCAACGCCGCGUGAAGGAAGAAGGCUUUCGGGUUGUAAACUUCUUUUAUGAGGGACGAAACAAAUGACGGUACCUCAUGAAUAAGCCACGGCUAACUACGUGCCAGCAGCCGCGGUAAUACGUAGGUGGCAAGCGUUAUCCGGAUUUACUGGGUGUAAAGGGCGUGUAGGCGGGACUGCAAGUCAGAUGGGAAAAUUAUGGGCUCAACCCAUAACCUGCAUUUGAAAAUGUAGGUCUUGAGUGAUGGAGAG
rnacentral:rRNA from 1 species